ensembl:lncRNA novel transcript
UGCUUUUACGCAGUGUUUUGAGGUGCAGGACUGCAAUGCCCGCACUUCCGGACCCCAGACUCUUCCUACGGCGACUGACACCUCAGACACGCGUUGUGGGGGGCGGCGCUCUGGCUCCGGGGCUGUGCCCAGCGCGAGCGUGGCCGGCACCCACUUGCUGCAGAGCCGGCACUGCACUGGGGUUCUUGGGGGCGGCUCCUCCAGACGUCUCUGCGGGUUGUCGGGUGCUGCCGAGUUGGGUUGGGGGACGCUACAGGUAGUGGGUCCGGAGCAGCGGCUGGCCCCUCAUCUCACUGCCCUUCCUCGGACCCCACCGUCCUCUGGAAGCUUGUGCAGGGCACCUGCCACUGUGACCACCUGGACGCAGUGGGUUGUUUUUUCCGUUUCCAUCUCUGGCUAGUCUUGAAGGCUAGACUUGCGUAGGAGAGCAGACACGAGGACAUGAGCCAGUUCUGCUGAGCUGUUACUGUAUACCUGCUUUCCCACAACAGCAAGGAAGAACCAUGGCCCAGGGGUCACUGUCAUUCGGGGACGUGGCUGUGGGCUUCACCCGGAAAGAGUGGCAGCAGCUGGACCUGGAGCAGAGGACCCUGUACCAGGAUGUGAUGCUGGAGAACUACAGCCACCUGCUCUCUGUGGGCUGAACUGUCUGCUUGCUUGGAAGGCCCAGCUGGCUCAGCACAAAUCCUUUAACCGUUUCUCCCCAAGAGGGUGUCAAGUCAGCAAACCAGCUGUGAUCUCCAGUUUGGAGCAGGGGAAGGAGCCAUGGAUGGAGGAGGAAGAGAUAAGGACGUGGAGCUUCCCAGAAGAAGUUUGGCAAGUUGCUACCCAGCCAGAUAGCCAACAGCAACACGAAGACCAACAUUUGAGCCAUACGUUUCUAGACAAGAAAGACUGGACCGGAAAUGAGCUUCAUGAAUGUAACGAACUUGGAAAAAAACUCCAUCAGAACCCAAACCUCCUUCCAUCAAAACAGCAGGUCCGCACACGUGACUUGUGCAGAAAGAGUUUGAUGUGUAACCUGGACUUCACUCCUAACGCCUACCUGGCGAGGAGGAGAUUUCAGUGCGACGGCCACGGAAACUUCUUCUCUGUUCGAAACUUGAAACUCCACCUUCAGGAGCGAAUCCACGCGGAGGUCACCAGUGUGGAAGUGCUUUAAGCUGUGACGAGGGAGUUCCUGCAGCUCAGGGAGCCAGUAGUGAGAAACCCCACGAAUGCACGAAGUGUGGGAAAGCCUUGUGCUGCAGAUCGGACCUCAGGGUACAUCACGGGGUCCACGCGGGGGAGAAGUCCUCUGCGUGCAGUGAACGGGGGAGUGGUUUCAGGGAGAAGCUUUGCCCUGACAAACA